rnacentral:rRNA from 1 species
UACGGGGGGGGCAAGCGUUGUUCGGAAUUACUGGGCGUAAAGGGCGCGUAGGCGGCUCGCUAAGUUGGAUGUGAAAACUCUGGGCUUAACCCAGAGCCUGCAUUCAAAACUGACGAGCUAGAGUUCUGGAGGGGAUAGCGGAAUUCCUGGUGUAGCAGUGAAAUGCGUAGAUAUCAGGAGGAACACCGGUGGCGAAGGCGGCUAUCUGGACAGAAACUGACGCUGAGGCGCGAAAGCUAGGGGAGCAAACAGG